CAGCAACAGGGCCCAGGUCCAGAUAAUAUACCGGCAGAAUUUUAUAAACAUUGCUGGGAAUUUGUUAAAAAUGACAUAAUGUGCCUAUUCAAAGCGUUCCAUGAUAACACACUGGAUAUUGAACGCCUGAAUCAUGGGUGAUCACCCUGAUCCCAAAACGAAUGGGGCUAAAAAAUCCAGCAAUAUCGUCCCAUUUGUCUACUUCGUUACCCUUAUAAGCUGAUUACCAAGGUGCUAGAUAACAGGGUAGCUAUAUAUGCUAACUAGCUCAUUAGCAAGCAUCAAAAUGCAUUCAUUAAGCAUAGAAAUAUAGUGGAUGGGAUCCUUACUCUGCAUGAGGCGUUGCACCACACACAACACAAGAAAAAUGUGGGGUGGUUCUGA
rnacentral:rRNA from 1 species